rnacentral:rRNA from 1 species
UACAGAGGGGGCAAGCGUUAUUCGGAAUUAUUGGGCGUAAAGGGCGCGUAGGCGGCGAUUCAAGUGACGGGUGAAAUCCCUCGGCUUAACCGAGGAACUGCCUGUCAGACUGGGUUGCUUGAGUCCGGGAGAGGUGAGUGGAACUGCGAGUGUAGAGGUGAAAUUCGUAGAUAUUCGCAAGAACACCAGUGGCGAAGGCGGCUCACUGGCCCGGUACUGACGCUGAGGUGCGAAAGCGUGGGGAGCAAACAGG